AAUGGACGAAAGUCUGAUCUAGCAACACCGCGUGUGCGAAGAAGGCCUUCGGGUUGUAAAGCACUUUUUGGAAGGAUUAGGAAGGAAUGUACUUCCAGAAUAAGUCUCGGCUCACUACGUGCCAGCAGCCGCGGUAACACGUAGGAGGCAAACGUUAUCCGGAUUUACUGGGCGUAAAGCGCGUGUAGGUGGUUCUGUAAGUAGGGCGUGAAAGCUCCUGGCUCAACUGGGAGAGGCCGUUCUAAACUGCUGAGCUAGAGGAUGGUAGAGGGGGGUGGAAUUCCGGGUGUAGCGGUGGAAUGCGCAGAUAUCCGGAGGAACACCAGUGGCGAAAGCGGCCUCCUGGACCAUUCCUGACACUCAGACGCGAAAGCUAGGGUAGCAAACG
rnacentral:rRNA from 1 species